UACGGAGGGGGCUAGCGUUGUUCGGAAUUACUGGGCGUAAAGCGCACGUAGGCGGAUAUUUAAGUCAGGGGUGAAAUCCCGGGGCUCAACCCCGGAACUGCCUUUGAUACUGGGUAUCUGGAGGUCGAGAGAGGCGAGUGGAAUUCCGAGUGUAGAGGUGAAAUUCGUAGAUAUUCGGAGGAACACCAGUGGCGAAGGCGGCUCGCUGGCUCGAUACUGACGCUGAGGCGCGAAAGCCAGGGGAGCAAACGGG
rnacentral:rRNA from 1 species